AGUGAACGCUGGCGGUAGGCCUAACACAUGCAAGUCGAACGGCAGCACAGUAAGAGCUUGCUCUGACAGGUGGCGGGUGGCGGACGGGUGGGGAAUACAUCGGAAUCUACUUUUUCGCGGGGGAUAACGUAGGGAAACUUACGCUAAUACCGCAUACGACCUCCGGGUGAAAGCAGGGGAUCUUCGGACCUUGCGCGAAUGAAUGAGCCGAUGUCGGAUUAGCUAGUUGGCGGGGUAAAGUCGCACCAAGGCGACGAUCCGUAGCGGGUCUCAGAGGGUGAUCAGCCAGCCUGGAACUGAGACACGCCCCCGACACCUACGGGAGGACGCAGUGGGGAAUAUUGCACGAUGGGGGCAAGCCUGAUACAGCACUACCGCGUGGGUGCAGAAGGCCCUCCGCUUGUAAAGCCCUUUUGUUGGGCAAGAAAAGCAGCAGUUUCAUCCCCCGCUGUACUGACGGUACCCAACUAAUAAGCACCGGCUAACUUCGUG
rnacentral:rRNA from 1 species